GCUGGGUAUGGUGGUGCAUGCCUGUAGUCUUAGCUACUUGGGAGGCUGAGAUAGGAGGAUCGCUUGAGCCCAGGAUGUUGAGUCUGUAGUGAGUGAUCAUGCCACUGCACUCCAGCCUGGGUGACAGAGUGAGAUCUUGUCUCAA
ensembl:misc_RNA Metazoa_SRP Metazoan signal recognition particle RNA